rnacentral:rRNA from 1 species
AACGUAGGACGCAAGCGUUAUCCGGAGUUACUGGGCGUAAAGCGCGCGCAGGCGGCUCGACAAGUUCGAUGUGAAAGCGCCCGGCUCAACCGGGCGAGGCCAUUGGAAACUAUCGAGCUGGAGGGCAGUAGAGGCAGGCGGAAUUCCGGGUGGAGUGGUGAAAUGCGUAGAGAUCCGGAGGAACACCAGAGGCGAAGGCGGCCUGCUGGGCUGCACCUGACGCUGAGCCGCGAAAGCGUGGGGAGCAAACAGG